CUUGCGAGAAGUUAUACAGAGACCACAUGGUCAUGUGAAAGUUGUCCAAUAAAUGCCAAAUGUGAAUGGACACACUACAGGUUGGCAAAGAAGCAACGAUGGAACUCAGAUACUGUGGGGAUGAAAGCCCUUCACCAAUCAGAAGUUCUGGAAACUCUCGUUUUGUGUCUGAUGGCUACAAUAACUAUGACGGCUUUUUUGCUACAUUCCAGGAAGUCUCAGAAGCAAUCAUAAAAGACUGUCCACCUCCACCACAACUCCACAAUGGAUACUCCACUGAGGUUUCAGUGGAGACUCAAAAAGUACACGCCAGAAGAAUGGGACCUGGAGCGGCAGUCGGCCUCUGUGUGUGA
rnacentral:lncRNA from 12 species